GAUGAACGCUGGCGGCGUGCUUAACACAUGCAAGUCGAACGGAAAGGCCCAAGCUUGCUUGGGUACUCGAGUGGCGAACGGGUGAGUAACACGUGGGUGAUCUGCCCUGCACUUCGGGAUAAGCCUGGGAAACUGGGUCUAAUACCGGAUAGGACCACAUUUUGGAUGGUGUGGUGGAAAGUUUUUCGGUGUGGGAUGAGCUCGCGGCCUAUCAGCUUGAUGGUGGGGUAAUGGCCUACCAAGGCGUCGACGGGUAGCCGGCCUGAGAGGGUGUACGGCCACAUUGGGACUGAGAUACGGCCCAGACUCCUACGGGAGGCAGCAGUGGGGAAUAUUGCACAAUGGGCGCAAGCCUGAUGCAGCGACGCCGCGUGGGGGAUGACGGCCUUCGGGUUGUAAACUCCUUUCGCUAGGGACGAAGCGUUAUGUGACGGUACCUGGAGAAGAAGCACCGGCUAACUACGUG
rnacentral:rRNA from 1 species